GUGGGGAAUAUUGGACAAUGGGCGAAAGCCUGAUCCAGCCAUGCCGCGUGAGUGAUGAAGGCCCUAGGGUUGUAAAGCUCUUUCACCGGUGAAGAUAAUGACGGUAACCGGAGAAGAAGCCCCGGCUAACUUCGUGCCAGCAGCCGCGGUAAUACGAAGGGGGCUAGCGUUGUUCGGAAUUACUGGGCGUAAAGCGCACGUAGGCGGACUAUUAAGUCAGGGGUGAAAUCCCGGGGCUCAACCCCGGAACUGCCUUUGAUACUGGUAGUCUCGAGUCCGGAAGAGGUGAGUGGAAUUCCGAGUGUAGAGGUGAAAUUCGUAGAUAUUCGGAGGAACACCAGUGGCGAAGGCGGCUUACUGGUCCAUUACUGACGCUGAGGUGCGAAAGCGUGGGGAGCAAACAGGAUUAGAUACCCGUGUAGUCC
rnacentral:rRNA from 1 species